ensembl:snRNA U5 U5 spliceosomal RNA
AUACUCUGGUUUCUCUUCAGAUCGUAUAAAUCUUUCGCCUUUUACUAAAGAUUUCCUUAGGCAAAACAAAGAGUUUAGAAUGGUUUAGAUUUUGCCCGGCAAAAACAAAUUGAGGG